rnacentral:tRNA from 1 species
GGUUCGUUAGUCUAGUGGUCUAUGACGCCUGCCUGUCACGCAGGAGAUCACGGGUUCAAAUCCCGUACGAACCGCCA